rnacentral:RNase_P_RNA from 1 species
CAGGGUAAACAGGCAAUCGCCUUGUCCCGCAGUAUUCGGGACGGGGAGGAAAGUCCGGACACCAACAAAAGGCUAGUGGGUAACGCCCACCGUCCCGCAAUACUGCGGGAUAGGGAAAGUGCCACAGAGACAAUACUAGUCCCGCAUUACUGCGGGACAAAAGGUGAAAAGUAGCGCGAUAUUGAUAUUCAUUUUGAGGAUAUCCUAAUGAAUAUUAAUUACGCGCUUUCCGCGCUGGCGACAGCACGCGAUGGUAAACCCUAGCCGGUGCAAGAGCAAACUUAUCUUACCUUACCUUAAUCCUCUCCUAGCCAGGAGGGGAAAACAGGAGAGGUGGAUAAAGGAACGUAGCUCGCAUGAUCCCGAUGGCAACAUCGGGGCUAGAUAAAUGAUUGUCGUCCUUAUAGCAAUAUAGGGGUACAGAAUCCGGCUUAUCGCUUGCCCUGAAUU